CCUACGGGUGGCAGCAGUGAGGAAUAUUGGUCAAUGGACGCAAGUCUGAACCAGCCAAGUCGCGUGCAGGAAGACGGCCCUAUGGGUUGUAAACUGCUUUUGUGCGGGGGUAAACUGAGUCACGUGUGGCUUAUUGCAGGUACCGCACGAAUAAGGAUCGGCUAAUUCCGUGCCAGCAGCCGCGGUAAUACGGAGGAUCCGGGCGUUAUCCGGAUUUAUUGGGUUUAAAGGGUGCGCAGGCGGAUCCUUAAGUGAGUUGUGAAAUGUCGGGGCUCAACCGGGGAACUGCCGCUGAAACUGGGGGGCUUGAGUGAGGAGGAGGUAGGCGGAAGGCGUGGUGUAGCGGUGAAAUGCAUAGAGAUCGUGCAGAACGCCGAUUGCGAAGGCAGCAUGCCGGCUCCAAACUGACGCUGAGGCACGAAAGCGUGGGUAGCGAACAGGAUUAGAUACCCUAGUAGUC
rnacentral:rRNA from 1 species